AUCCAGGUCACGAGUCCCAAAUAGGACGAAACGCGCAUCCUGGAU
rnacentral:hammerhead_ribozyme from 1 species